UCCCUUCGGGGAGCGAGUACAGUGGCGAACUGGUUAGUACAAGAUGGAUAACGUGCCCUUCAGCGGGGAAUAACCCCUGGAAACAGAGGCUAAUGCCGCAUGUGCCCACUUGGCCCUCGGGUCGGGUGGGGAAAGACUUCGGUCGCUGAAGGAUCGGUCCAUCCCCCAUUAGCUUGUUGGUGAGGUAACGGCUCACCAAGGCCGCGAUGGGUAGCUGGUCUGAGAGGAUGGUCAGCAACACUGGGACUGAGAUACGGCCCAGACUCCUACGGGAGGCAGCAGUCUAGAGGCUUCGGCAAUGGGGGAAACCCUGACCGAGCGACGCCGCGUGGGGGAUGAAGCACCUCGGUGUGUAAACCCCUGUCAGUUGGGCUGAAGGCCCCGAUGGUGAAUCGGGGAUUGACCAACCCAGCAGAGGAAGCCCCGGCUAACUCCGUGCCAGCAGCCGCGGUAAUACGGAGGGGGCAAGCGUUAUUCGGAUUCAUUGGGCGUAAAGCGCGCGUAGGCGGAUCGGCAAGUCAGGUGUGAAAGCUCCACUGCUCACCAGGGAGAGGCCAUCUGAAACUGCCGGUCUUGAGGUCCGGAGAGGCAAUCGGAAUUCCCGGUGUAGCGGUGGAAUGCGUAGAUAUCGGGAAGAACACCAGUGGCGAAGGCGGAUUGCUGGACGGCACCUGACGCUGAGGCGCGAAAGUGUGGGGAGCGAACGGGAUUAGAUACCCCGGUAGUCCACACCGUAAACGUUGGGCACUAGGUGUUGCGGGU
rnacentral:rRNA from 1 species